CCUACGGGUGGCAGCAGUGAGGAAUAUUGGUCAAUGGACGAGAGUCUGAACCAGCCAAGUCGCGUGAAGGAUGACUGCUCUAUGGGUUGUAAACUUCUUUUAUAUGGGAAUAAAAUGUUCCACGUGUGGGUUUUUGUAUGUACCAUAUGAAUAAGCAUCGGCUAACUCCGUGCCAGCAGCCGCGGUAAUACGGAGGAUCCGAGCGUUAUCCGGAUUUAUUGGGUUUAAAGGGAGCGUAGGUGGUUUGUUAAGUCAGUUGUGAAAGUUUGUGGCUCAACCGUAAAAUUGCAGUUGAAACUGGCAGUCUUGAGUACAGUAGAGGUAGGCGGAAUUCGUGGUGUAGCGGUGAAAUGCAUAGAUAUCACGAAGAACUCCGAUUGCGAAGGCAGCUCACUGGACUGCAACUGACACUGAGGCGCGAAAGUGUGGGGAUCAAACAGGAUUAGAUACCCGGGUAGUC
rnacentral:rRNA from 1 species